AAAAUUGGAAGAAAUCAAAAGUUAAUGGCAUAACGGUAGAUAUGUUGAAGUGUUAGGGGCAAAAUGGAAAUUUAAUAAUAUUAAACAAGGGGUGAAUAGUGUUUGAUGUGAUUUAAUUAGGGGGUUUGCUGUGGCUUUUGGAUGGAAACCGAGAGAGAGUCACAGAGGGAGUCUCAGACGGACAGAGAGGAAGAAAAAGAAGGAGAGGAAAGGAAAGGAAGAAAGGAAAGGAAGAAAGGAAGAGGAAGGAGAUCCCGGUUGCGCUGCCAGCUGAAGGAAAAAGUGUAGAUCUCCUUCCCCUCUAUGCAAGGACCUCGAUUUUCAAAAAGAAAAAGAUAAAUAUCCGUCCCUAUCUAGUCUUUUGAUGACAUUAGGCUAUACAAAGGGUGGAUAUAGUCUAGAGGGGUCGGAUAAGGGUUGUAGAGGCGGUUAAAAGAGGAAGAAUCGGAUUUUGACAAAUUUUUCCGGCACUA
rnacentral:lncRNA from 1 species